AACACGUGAGCAACCUGCCCCUGACUCUGGGAUAAGCGCUGGAAACGGCGUCUAAUACUGGAUACGAGUAGCGAUCGCAUGGUCAGCUACUGGAAAGAUUUAUUGGUUGGGGAUGGGCUCGCGGCCUAUCAGCUUGUUGGUGAGGUAAUGGCUCACCAAGGCGUCGACGGGUAGCCGGCCUGAGAGGGUGACCGGCCACACUGGGACUGAGACACGGCCCAGACUCCUACGGGAGGCAGCAGUGGGGAAUAUUGCACAAUGGGCGCAAGCCUGAUGCAGCAACGCCGCGUGAGGGAUGACGGCCUUCGGGUUGUAAACCUCUUUUAGCAGGGAAGAAGCGAAAGUGACGGUACCUGCAGAAAAAGCGCCGGCUAACUACGUGCCAGCAGCCGCGGUAAUACGUAGGGCGCAAGCGUUAUCCGGAAUUAUUGGGCGUAAAGAGCUCGUAGGCGGUUUGUCGCGUCUGCUGUGAAAUCCGGAGGCUCAACCUCCGGCCUGCAGUGGGUACGGGCAGACUAGAGUGCGGUAGGGGAGAUUGGAAUUCCUGGUGUAGCGGUGGAAUGCGCAGAUAUCAGGAGGAACACCGAUGGCGAAGGCAGAUCUCUGGGCCGUAACUGACGCUGAGGAGCGAAAGGGUGGGGA
rnacentral:rRNA from 1 species